GACGAACGCUGGCGGCGUGCCUAACACAUGCAAGUCGAACGAAGUGGCGAACGGGUGAGUAACGCGUAAUCAACCUGCUCUUCAGAGGGUUACAACAGUUGGAAACGUCUGCUAAUACCGCAUACUGAUGGUGGGGAUUGCGUUUGAUUAGCUAGUUGGGGGGGUAAUGGCCCACCAAGGCGAUGAUCAGUAGCCGGUCUGAGAGGAUGAACGGGCACAUUGGGACUGAGACGAGGCCCAGACUCCUACGGGAGGCAGCAGUGGGGAAACUUCCGCAAUGGACGAAAGUCUGACGGAGCAACGCCGCGUGGAUGAUGAAAGGCUUCGGGUUGUAAAGCGCUGUUAAUCGGGACGCGGUACCGGAAUAGAAAGCCACGGCUAACUACGUGCGAGCAGCCGCGGUAAUUC
rnacentral:rRNA from 1 species